rnacentral:rRNA from 2 species
UCUCCUGAAGGAACGUUGAAGACGACGACGUUGAUAGGCCGGGUGUGUAAGCGCAGCGAUGCGUUGAGCUAACCGGUACUAAUGAACCGUGAGGCUUAACCUUACAACGCCAAAG